GGGUCCAGGUCAGUCCGGCGGUAUACGUAAGGGUCAGCGUUGUCCGGAUAUGGCGUUAAGCGCGCGCAGCGUUUCUCAAGUCUGAUGUGAAGCCACAGCUCAAACUGUGGGAGGGCCCAUUGGAAACUGGGGAACUUGAGACAGAAGAGGAGAGCGGGAAUUUCCACGUGUAGCGGUGAAAUGCGUAGAUAUGUGGAGGAACACCAGUGGCGAAGGCGGCUCUCUGGUCUGUAACUGACGCUGAGGCGCGAAAGCAUGGGUAGCGAACAGGAUUAGAUACCCUGGUAGUCCAUGCCGUAAACGUUGAGUGCUAGGUGUUAGGGGGUCCAACCCUUAGUGCUGCAGUUAACGCAAUAAGCACUCCGCCUGGGGAGUACGGCCGCAAGGCUGAAACUCAAAGGAAUUGACGGGGGCCUGCACAAGCGGUGGAGCAUGUGGUUUAAUUCGACGCAACGCGAAGAACCUUACCAGGUCUUGACAUCUUCGGACAGCCCAAGAGAUUGGGUCUUCCCUUCGGGGACCGAAUGACAGGUGGUGCAUGGUUGUCGUCAGCUCGUGAGUGAGAUGUUGGGUUAAGUCCCUUAACGAGCGCAACCCCUGAUGUUAGUUGCCAGCAUUAAGUUGGGCACUCUAGGAUGACUGCCGGUGACAAACCGGAGGAAGGCGGGGAUGACGUCAAAUCAUCAUGCCCCUUAUGACCUGGGCUACACACGUGCUACAAUGGAUGGUCCAAAGGGAAGCCAAACCGCGAGGUCGAGCUAAUCCCAUAAAGCCAUUCUCAGUUCGGAUUUUAGGAUGCAACUCGCCUGCAUGAAGCCGGAAUCGUUAGUAAUCGCGGAUCAGAAUGCCGCGGUGAAUACGUUACCAGGCCUUGUACACACCACCCGUCACACCACGAGAGGGGCAACACCCGAAGUCGGGAGAGUACGAUACAUGGCGCAGAUGACGCGGUGACGUAACC
rnacentral:rRNA from 1 species